GUUUGCUAUAGCUAGUGAUAUGCUAGAAGCUCUCUCUUCAGUCCUCUCCUCUCCUUCCACCGUUGACCCUUUCUGUGAGUGACCCUCUUUUGAACAGUCGCUUUCUUCAACCUUCUCUCUCUUUCUCCUAAACCUUCAAAUAUGGUGGUCCAUCUCAGCUUCUAUCAGUGUAAUCUUUGUGAGUUGCUGUAUGGGAGGGGAGGGAGGUUUCAGAGGGUUACAUGGCAUAGAUCUGCAUAAGAAUAUUACACAUUAGCUAGGCAUUUACAUACAAAUCUUUGUCAAUUUUGUAUUUGAG
rnacentral:misc_RNA from 1 species